rnacentral:misc_RNA from 1 species
GUUUUACUUCAAUACAUUUUCGUUGCUUGACCCAAAUAUGAGAUUAACCACAUUACGGGCAACAAAGAUUUCGAAGAAGCUCGGAGGAGUUGUCUUUUAUGAUCUCAACCUUCCAUCUCCACUAUGGGAAUCAGGUGAAAAAGCCAAAACGUUCAUACAAAAAGCAUGGAAUCUUGCAGAUAUCAUAGAGGUCACGAAACAAGAGUUAGAGUUUCUCUGUGGAAUAGAACCCUCCGAGAAGUUUGACACCAAGGAUAAUGACAGGUCUAAGUUCACUCACUAUCCACCAGAAGUUAUUGCUCCACUUUGGCAUGAAAAUUUAAAGAUUUUGUUCAUGACUAAUGGGACUUCUAAGAUUCAUUACUACACCAAGGAGCAUAAUGGUUCUGUUCUAGGGUUGGAAGAUGUGCCUCUUAGCCCUUAUACUUCUGA